rnacentral:rRNA from 1 species
AGCGAACGCUGGCGGCAGGCUUAACACAUGCAAGUCGAACGGGUAUCUUCAGAUACUAGUGGCAGACGGGUGAGUAACACGUGGGAACGUACCUUUCGGUUCGGAAUAAUACAGGGAAACUUGUACUAAUACCGGAUAAGCCCUUGGGGAAAGAUUUAUCGCCGAUAGAUCGGCCCGCGUCUGAUUAGCUAGUUGGAGAG